UGGACAUCCGCAACGCGUCGGACUGGGUCGAGUGUGUGUGUGUUCAGGCUUCUAGCUUUCUGAUCACUCUCUUCUCCCUCCUGGCGUCCUGGCGGUAGAAUGAACAUCCUCCCCGAGUCACUGGCUGUCUUCAAACGAAGGCUGAACACUCACCUUGUCGCUGACUCACUAAGCACUUAAAAAAACAUUUAGUCUUCUGUUCCAUUCCAGCCAGGCGUUGAGCCUGACGGUGUUCUCGGCACAGUGGUAUCCAUUGUCGCAUGAGGAUAUGUAUUUGAUUGAGACUACAAAGCACUUCUGUAAGUCACUCUGGAGGAGGGCAAAAGGAAACAAAUGCUGUAAUUGUACAGCACGUCGAAACAUAAAAUUCCAACUAAACAUCCGAGUGAUGUGAGAAAAGGAUCACAGGAUUAAAAACAGUAAACAAAGAAGGAAUGCUACUCCAUGCACUCAUGAAGUGCAGGGAUCGACUGGAGAUUAGAUGACAGGAUUCCAGCAGAGAGAAGAAAUGAAGGCUCUGGUGUUGACUUUGUGCUUCACGUUGUGCGCGCUCCCGUCCGGGGUCUGCAUCCAUGCAUGGGGAUAAAAUUCCACGCGUGACCCUGGAGGAGUCCUGGAGGAACGCUGUUAUUCAGCCUCCACCCGCCCGUGCCACCUCUCCCAGUAUCCCCAUUUCCCGAAGACCUUCACUCAUCUCUCCCCACCCAUUUGCGGCUUUCUGCUGCCGCCACCCUCCUCAUCCUCCUCCUCCUCCUCCUCCUCCUCCUCCUCCUAUCACACUUGGUGUGGUCAUGGGUGGAGGAGAAGGGGAGCCAGAGAGAGGUGAAGCAAUAACAGGCCCCGUGGUGUCUCCGUGGGAGCCCCCUGUUUGUCUUUCACUCUCCCGGUCAUCUGCGGGGCUGUGGAUUGAGUGAAGAACUUCGGUUCCCGGUGUGCUGUACUUUUAAGCGGUAAAGUAACUGGCGGCACUAGAGUCCUGACGACACCUCUGUGAUGCGCUGAUGACAUCUGCGUCAUGGAAUCCUGACACCUCUGUCAUGCGGUGGCGAGCCAAACGAGGCUGGACAGCGUGGCAUCUGUCAUAUGCCGGAGACAUUAAACCCAGCCUGGGACGGCCCAAGCACGGGAUGGUACGGUUCGAACAAGGCUGAGUGGCGGGUAAACCGAAUGGAGAAAGCCUCCAUCUUCCUGUUCAGUGCAUUCAUAUGUUUCCAAUAGCACGUAGAUGAUUGGAGGUCGACGUAUACUCAGUGGCUCGCAUUCCCGCAUAUUUAUCGGAUAUCACGCACCGGUAACCCAGUAUCUACGAUGCCAUGAUCGCCACGGAGAUCUCAACCGUCCGAAUGGUCACGGUAGGUUACCUAGCAUCCCGGAGGCACGUUCCGAAAGCGGAACUGAUUUGAGGGAAAGGCUGACCGUCAGGUGUUUCCUCCUGGCCUGGGGUGGGGGGCCUGUGUCAGUCAGUGACGCUGAUCCAGUGACAGUCACUCUGCAGGCACAAUCAGUGGCACUGACAGAAUAUGAUCCCCCCCCCCCCCCUCGAGGAAAGAGAGAGAGGGGAAGGAUAGUGUUCUCCUAUCAAUGAGACCCGUGCUCUCGUCCGCCAUGGGCUAAAUUGAUUCCUGACCUUUAACCCCUGACCUGACCUAGAGCCAGGAACAGAUAUUUCAGCAGGCAUGUGCUGAGAUGUACACUAUGUAGCAGCACGUCUGGGAGCAUGAGUGACCCAUAAUACACCCCAGCAUCGUUGCCCAUAUAGGAAUGCUGCAUGCAUCACCAACUGGAAGCAUCCGUGUGCACUGGUAAGCAGCUCUUAUCCAACACGGCAUGCGGACAUGCCUCCUUGUCAAACGUAUGGCCGUGUAAAAUUGGAGCUGUGCGCUACUGCGGUUGCCAUGGCAUGCAAAAGCCAGUUGUUGCAAUGGCGUUUUGUUUUGCAAAAAUGAAAACAAGCCAACCGCAGGCUCACAGAAACUGUUUACGAGAGUCACGUAUAGGUGCUGCACUUAGGCCAAGAGGCCAGUAGGGGGUUGUCCAGAGUGCCUGACCUGGGGUGAAGCAGACCAAACCAAGUCAACCCCUGUACCUCCGCAACAAAGAACUGGUCCGAGAUCAGCAAAAUAUAACAAAAUAAGUGUAACUAGGAGUGUGGUUACAUGGUGACGGGUCAGAUGAGUGAUUGAAUCCUCCCAAUAGAACCUUGUUCCUUAUUCGCGCAUGCUUUAUGUAUGCGUGAACGUGCUUGUAUGAUUGUACUAAAAUAUGAUUAGAAUGCUUCUAUGAACUAUUGGUGACGCCCAGCAUAAAUUAACUGCAUUAUAUUGUGUCCUGAAUACAAUUCAGAGUUCAGGUCAUUUUAUCUAGGAGGUAGAAAUCAGUUUGAAUUACCGACUGACCAUGGCGUGCAUUACUGGCUUACACACACAAACAGAGUAAUGGAUAGUCAUAGCAAAACGAAAAAUGGAUCAGUAUCAUUGAAGAGUAUGCAAUGUCAAUAAUACUUGCCGCUCCAGCAAUAUUGACAUUCUCACAUUUAUACUUAUCGCCGUAGUGUGCGUAUUCGCGCGCUCGUGUUUUGCAAGGGUGUGUUCGCGCUCCCCGCCACCGAGCCACAGCAAUAACAAUAAUAAAACCCUUAACAAAGGCUCCAGUGUGACAGGCUGAAACCUGCUCCGUGGCCUUCUCCCAACCGCUGCGCGC